GACGAACGCUGGCGGCGUGCUUAACACAUGCAAGUCGAACGGAAAGGCCCUGCUCUUGUGGGGUGCUCGAGUGGCGAACGGGUGAGUAACACGUGAGUAACCUGCCCUUGACUUUGUGAUAACUUCAGGAAACUGGGGCUAAUACCGGAUAUGAGCUCCUGCUGCAUGGGGGGGGUUGGAAAGUUUCGGCGGUUGGGGAUCGACUCGCGGCUUAUCAGCUUGUUGGUGGGGUAGUGGCUUACCAAGGCUUUGACGGGUAGCCGGCCUGAGAGGGUGACCGGCCACAUUGGGACUGAGAUACGGCCCAGACGCCUACGGGAGGCAGCAGUGGAGAAUAUUGCACAAUGGGCGGGAGUCUGAUGCAGCGACGCCGCGUGCGGGAUGACGGCCUUCGGGUGGUAAACCGCUUUCGCAUGUGACGAAGCGGGAGUGACGGUAAUGGGUAAAGAAGCACCGGCUAACUACGUG
rnacentral:rRNA from 1 species